GCGAGCGUGGCGGAACGGCAGACGCGCCGGACUUAGGAUCCGGAGCCAUAAGGCGUGGGGGUUCGAGUCCCCCCGCUCGCA
rnacentral:tRNA from 1 species